rnacentral:misc_RNA from 1 species
CUGAGUUGUAAAACUCCAAACCCAUGUGAACAUACCUCUGUUGCCUCGGUGGGCUUGCGGGCAAGUUACCCUGUAGCUACCCUGUAGUCUGCCGAAGGUCUACCAAACUCUUUUAUUAUAGUAUCUCUGAGUAAAAAACAAAUAAGUUA